rnacentral:lncRNA from 1 species
AAAUAUUAGGUAAUCAUCCAAUGGAUCAUACAAGUAUCAAAGAAAAGCUAGAAGUUUAAUUCAAUUCCUUGCCUCCAUAGGUGUUACAAAUGUUUGCACUAGAUCCCCAAGAAUGAGUUCUAGCCACUAGAGGAAAAAGGAAGAAAGAAAGGAUGGCUUCCCUUAGUUGUUGGUUGAAGCUCCUCCAUUGAUGUUGUUGAAGCUCCCACCAUUGAUGUUCCUUGAAGCUCUUGAAGAAACAUGGCCAAGAUCCAUGGCCUCCCUCUUCUCCAAGCCGCCACCUCUCUCUUUUUCUCCUCUAGGUUGCAAGUAGAAGUGAAGGAUUAUUGUUUUGGGUCAUUAGGUUGAGCAUUUAAUAGCUGAAAUCUGUCCAAAAUUCGUGUCUGGCGCUGCGGCGCCAUGAUUUGGCUUGAACGGGGCGCUACGGCGCGGAAAAGGGGCUGGGCUACUGCUAAGUGGCGCUGCGGCGCCGCAAAUACACUAGCAAGUCACGCUGCAGCGCCGGGCCGUUUUCUGCUUGGAUAUCUGUUGGGAAAAUUGCCAUAACUUCAUCAUACGAACUCCGAUUGAGGCGAUUCAAGAUGAUCCGGAAAGAGAAGAAGUAGAUCUACAACUUUCAUUCUUUGAGUUCUUCGAAAUAAUGGCUAGAGCAAUGCUCAAAGUGGACUUGAAGUAACUGCUAUGCAAAUAGCAAUUGGUAGUUUCCAGAUUUGACACCCGUUGGGAAAAUGGCCAUAACUCUCGUAUCCGAACUCCGAUUGAGGUGAUUCAAGAUGAUCCGGAAAGAAGAGACGUUGAUCUACAACUUCCGUUCUUGAAGUUUGGGUAGAUAAUGGCCGGAUCAUGGCAAAAAUUGGGCUUUACGGGACUGCUAUGUCAAUGACAAACCGAAAAUGCGAAUUUAGCGAUUCCAACCAUCGACCCAAAUGACAUUCCAUCCAAUUACUACAAAACAAAGUAAAAACACAUAAAACUAAUACAAAUAUACAUAAAAGCAAUAUAAAACUAUAUUACUCAACAAUACAAUGAAAACACAUAAAAAGAAAACAAACUAGCUUAGGAUUUACAAAUUAUCAAACUCAAAAGUACCUAAUUUAUGUAUAUAAAACACACUCAUCAAAUACCCCCAAACUUGAAUCUUUGUUUGUCCUCAAGCAAAACACUAAGAACAAAAACUAUAAAAAUAAAUUCUAACAAUCAACCACUUGAGCAAUGAAUCAAUAAGUUUGAACAAUGUCCUUAAAGAUGUCAAAACAUGAUAACUCUAGAAAACUUUCAAAAUGUCAGAACUUCUAGGAUUUCAACUUGCUUGUUAGUACCUUGCUUUAGAUCCUUUCUGUGUGUGUGUGUAUCCAUUUACACUAAACCAAUUAUAGCUCGGAUUAGCUUAUACAACCAUAUUACCUUAUGAAAGAAAUAAACUUCAAAAACUACAUGCUUAACACAUCACUCAUCGCAAUUGUAGACAAAUCAAACAUUCCAAAAAUUUGAGAUUAAAGGACUCUUAGGUGAGUGCAUUUUAUGCUCCAUCUUACCCUAAGUCCGCUUUUAUGGGCGAGUGCAUUUUACACUCCAUCUCACCCUAAGUCCGCUUUUAUGGGCGAGUGCGUUUUACGCUCCAUCUCAACCCACCACAAAAUUUUCGAUAUAUUUUUAUUUCUUUUUUUUUUCAUAGGUGAGUGCGUUUUACGCUCUAUCUCCCUUAAGUAUGUGUUUAUGAGUGAGUGCGUUUUACGCUCCAUCUCAACCCACCACAUGACCAAUUAAUCAAACCUAAGUAUAUUGCUUCGAGUGAUGUUUAAACGAGUUCUAGAGUUUAUUGAUAUCUCUCAUAAGCAUUCGGUCAUAUAAGCCUUCUCUAAGUAUACAACUAGUUCAUUACAAAUGGAUGAGUGCUCAAAAGUAGGAGUCAUAAGCAAAGCAAUAACCAACAAUAAGUCAAUCACCCAAACUAAGCAAUAUUUAUCUAUUUCAUGAGUUAUAACCUUAACAAUCAUUUGCCUGAUCAUAUAUUAUAACUCAAUUCAAAUUAAAUCAAUGCUCAAGAGAUAACCUAUACUAGAAAUGCAAUUAAGCCCACAAAAUAAAAUAAAAUAAAACAUAUCAAAACAAAACGUAGAAGACCCCCAAACUUGAAACUGACAAUGUCCUUACUAAACGCAAUAAAAGAAUUCAAUGCAAAGAACUUCCGUGAUCAUUUAUCAGUUGUCGCCUUCCGCAACUGAAGUCUACUAUUUGCUAAGAUAUAACAUAAAAUGGAAAAUUUUCAAAAUUUUAACUAAUAUGCACUACUAAACAUAAAAACAUCCAAAUAUCUGACAUAAUAAUAUAAUACCAACUCAAGUACCAAGAAUAUCACGAGUACCACCAAACUUAAGAAGAACAUUGUCCUCAAUGUAAAGAUAGAUAAAAUUAAAACUAGAGGACUUCCCUGAGAAUAUGUUAAUCGUCAUCGACAUCUUCCUCCAAGUCCUCCAAGUCGGGAGUGCCAAACUUGUUGCGCGAUACUCGGUACCUGAAAGAAACACAAAACUUUACACUUUGGGUUGCCUCCCAACAAGCGCUUGGUUUAUAGUCUUCGGCCUGACUUUAUUUAAACAGAAAAAACAAGUUUAAUAAAAAUGUGUCAUGCAAAAUCGGACUGUAAGGAUCCAACAGUUACGCUGAGUCUUGCACAAGAGAAAUGCAUUUACUUACAAUCUUGUCAAUCCAAUCUCACAAACGAUAACAAUAAAUAGAACUGUAAGGCCCCAAAUUACGUCAAGUCUUGCACAAGAGCUGCAUUUACAUACAGUCUUGUCAGCUUAUUUAUCGCAAUCGAAAAACACGCGCAAAUAAAGAUCAAACAAAUAAAAGAUAAAUAUAAGUUCAAAUUAAGACUACAUUGAUUGAAAUCAAUAUUGGAAAAUAUUAGAAUAAUAAUUCCCCGGCAACGGCGCCAAAAACUUAUUGCUCGAUUUUGCAACCAAUAAACACGCGCAAGUAUACGCGGUCAACAAGUAAUAUAAUGAUAAGAGAGUUGUCGAACCCACGAGGAAUUAUCACUAAUGAUUAACCAAGUGCUAACUUUAUAUCGCCUCAGUCUUAUUUAAACAUUUAAUUGAAAUGAUACAUUAUGAUUAUAAUUAAUCAAAAUAACAGAAAAACAAAACAUAGAUAGAUAGAUAAAGAGCUAAGAACACAAUAUCCACACAUAAGCAUUUUGUCAAACACUCGGCGUGCAUCACUUUGUUCAAAUCUCUUAACUCUCUUUAUGAUCAUGGCGGCCACUAUGAAUUGGCAAUACAUAAAUUAUGCAUAUACAUAAUCACAUAAAGAACCAAUUCACAUGACACCAAUCAAAAAGAAAACAAAUUAGAAGUUUAAUUCAUAACAAAUAAAUCAAACUAUUCCAAAUAUUAGGUAAUCAUCCAAUGGAUCAUACAAGUAUCAAAGAAAAGCUAGAAGUUUAAUUCAAUUCCUUGCCUCCAUAGGUGUUACAAAUGUUUGCACUAGAUCCCCAAGAAUGAGUUCUAGCCACUAGAGGAAAAAGGAAGAAAGAAAGGAUGGCUUCCCUUAGUUGUUGGUUGAAGCUCCUCCAUUGAUGUUGUUGAAGCUCCCACCAUUGAUGCUCCUUGAAGCUCUUGAAGAACCAUGGCCAAGAGCCAUGGCCUCCCUCUUCUCCAAGCCGCCACCUCUCUCUUUUUC